UCCUUGGUGGUCCAGUGGCUAAGGCCCUGCACUCCCAAUACAGGGGGGCCUGGGUUCGAUUCCUGGUCGGGGAG
rnacentral:tRNA from 1 species